GGGCCCGCACAAGCGGUGGAGCAUGUGGUUUAAUUCGAUGAUACGCGAGGAACCUUACCAGGGCUUAAAUGUUAGGUGACAGAUCUAGAAAUAGAUUUUUCUUCGGACACUUAACAAGGUGCUGCAUGGUUGUCGUCAGCUCGUGCCGUGAGGUGUCAGGUUAAGUCCUAUAACGAGCGCAACCCCUAUCGUUAGUUGCCAGCGAGUAAUGUCGGGAACUCUAACGAAACUGCCAGUGCAAACUGUGAGGAAGGUGGGGAUGACGUCAAAUCAUCACGGCCCUUACGUCCUGGCCACACACGUGCUACAAUGGUAGGUACAGAGGGAAGCCACCCCGCGAGGGGGAGCGGA
rnacentral:rRNA from 1 species